CAGUGUGGUGUUUAUCUUGAAGUAACUAAGAAAAAUAUAUGUAAGCGUCGUAGCAUUAAGUUCGACAUGUAUAGUAAAUCGGCUACCCGAUACAUAUAUAGUUGACGUUGACGAGACAUUAGGUAGAUCGCGCUAUUCGCGUUUAGAAAGUAUAUUGUGGAAGGAAAGCGACAGCGACCGAGAAGACAGACGUUGUACCGACACCGGCUUAAGAACAUUGUAACAUCGCAGUACUAGUAAAGUAGAAUCUCAAGCGUGAUACGUCUCACAUUUUGUUUUGUUAGUUACCGCAUUUCCAUGUACCAUCCCGCCUACAAUUAAUCAGAAGUGGGAUCGAGAUCUGCAUCGGGAUCGGCGAUCUGAAUUUGGAUUUGGACGAAAGACGAAGGAUCGAGACGAACGAUCGAAGCCGAGGAUCGCGGGAGCGAGGAGCGAGGAGCGCAAGUUGCGCAAUUAUGACGUGGCACUCACGAAUUUAGCUGCGAAGAACCGGACGGUUGAAACAGGCUAUUUGUGUGGCGUAUUUGAGAAUUUUCGAGAACAUUUUGAAGAAAAAAUUUGGGGACGGAAAUUUUGUAGUGGCCUGGAAACUGAAGUAUCGCAAAAUUAGAGCAUCAUGAAUUUUAUAAAAGAUUGCACUAUUUAUUUGAAAGAAAUUUUGAGGAAAUUUGGAUUAUCUACUUCUGGAAAUAAAGCCGAGCUCGCUAGAGUGCUCGAAGAGGAUUCGGAGAAAGAGAGAUGACGAGAUGCGUUCGGGAACGUACAAGCGGAAGAUGCUGCAGGAGCAUUUCUGCAUUUGCAUAAUUCGCUGGAUGACGCCGGUAGAUUGGAGCAAGCAGGUGUAAUCACCUUUUGUAUUACAUUAUGGACACGCAUUGAUUUAGGUAUGUAAGAUAUUUAUAAUUUAUUUUGACUUUUGCAUGAAAAUAUAUUAGAGUUUCUUUCAUAUAAAUAAAAAUCGUUUAUUAUCAUUUAUCAUAAUAGUUUUUUUCUUUUAUUGUUAUUUUAUAUAUCGCAGUUGUUAAGUAAAAUUGACCAGAAAUAAUCAAUCACAAUUGAUAUUAAAUUGGUCAUAAAGAGGAGAUCGUAAAACUAGCUCUUAUAAAUCAUAACAACAUUACGAUACUCUUUGAUUAUAUUAAUCACUUCAGUCUUAAAUUCAUAUGAGUAUUGCCUAAGUGCAGCAUUAUAUUAUACUUUGUAGGUCAAAAAAGGACUCUAAAGUUCUGAUUCUUGAUUAUAAAUUGGUUGCAAGUCAGCUCCAAAUCUUUCGAUAUAAUACAUCAUUGAAUAAUACUUGCAGAAUAGUGCAAGGAUAUUUUCAACAACAAAAACAGCCUGUAAAUAACAUUCAAAUACAAUAAUUUCAUAUAAAAAAAACAAUUAUAUCUAAUAAUUAUUUUAUUCUGUUGCUUCUAUUAUAUAUAAAAUAGAAGCAACAAGUUCAAAUAUAUAUACUUUUUUAAAUCAUUUUGAAACACCUAUUAAUUUUUGUUAUUACUCACGUAUAAAGAACUGACAUGUGGAUUAACCUCGUGUGCAUCAUAGUUUUCUUCUGCAUUUUCUAGCACCAGAAAAAACGACAAUUCAUUUGGUACGUCUUGCGGAGUAACGAUUCUUUCUUUUAUAAAACAUUGGAUAUAUUACAAACAAAAAAGGGCUGAGCAACAAUGUUAAGAUCAAUGUGAUUCAGUGACACUAAGAGUAGAAUAGAUUUGAAUUUCUUUUUCUUCACUCUAUUUGAGAAUUUAAUCGAGUUUAUCGAUUAGAUUCAAUUCUACUCUUUCUUUUGCUCUACUUUUGCGAAUUUUAACGAGCAAGUCUCGAAUAGAUUCGAAGUUUUUUUUUCACUCCAUUUGAGAAUUUAAUCAAGUUUAUCGAUUAGAUUCAAUUCUACUCUUCCUUCUGCUCUACUUUUGCUAAUUUUAACGAGCAAGUCUCGAAUAGAUUCGAAGUUCGUUUUCUUCACUCCAUUUGAGAAUUUAAUCGAGUUUGUCGAUUAGAUUCAAUUCUACUCUUCUGUUACAUCCGUAGAAUUUUACGAUUUCCCUUUUUGCAUCCAUCAUAUAAAAUAUGAAAUGCAAAACAAGCCAAGGCAUUGUCUGUAAAAUUUAUAAUACUUAUAUUCAGAACUCCACGAUUUCUCUUUUAUAAAUAACACUAUUGCUCAGUUAUAAUAAGAAAAUUAUUAAACAUUGUACUUUAGAAUAUAUAAUGGCCACAUAUUACACCCGGAGCAAUAAAUUCGUUAAAUAGAAGCAAAAAAGGAGAAAUCGUGCGACGACAAAACUACAAGCAACGAUGCUUAUCCUAAUACAAUAAUCCAUAUAAACGAACAAAGCCUGGACUCGAAAGAAAAAAAUCUAAAUGCUAUUAAAGUCUGGCAACAAUCAGAAAUAAGAUUGAGUCGCGACGCCGGACGGAAACUAUAAAACUAUAAAAUCAAAUUUUACAACCCCGGCUUUGUUUGUUCAAACCUGUGUUUUAUCAUAAACAGAAAGAUGAUUCAUAUGGAAAGCGAGUCCCAAAUAAACGGACGCGACAAUACAGAAAAUUGGGACCGAACGUUCCAAGAAGAGAAACCGUAAGAUGACGAAUUCCUUAAGCGAUUGGGUGAUGCAACUGCUCGCCCCCUCUUAAAGUUAAGAAAAAUCAGGAGAAGAUGGAAGAUUAACCAAAGAGAGAUCAUCCGAGAAGAUGAUUGGUAGUGAGAGUUGGUGAACUACCCAACGAAUAAACCCAAAAUUUCAAUAACAAAGAAUCUCCAAGGGAAGGGAGAACCUCAAAAAGCUUUACCCAAUCAAAUCUCCAUCUCACCCACUAAAUUAACCCCACUCCCUUUUCCUAAGCUCUAUAAAAUGUGGAACUUUCAAGAGCCUUGGGCAUUCACAUUUGCAUUCACGCGUUUGCAAGUCUAGAAGCUGUGCGGAUAUUUAAACGAUUUGUGGUCAAGCAUCUUAUAAAGUCUCCGAGCGGCCCACCGAUUGAAGCAUCUCUCAGAGCGGACAGCCUGGGUUGCAUCGAGCACCUUUCAACCGACAGAAAUCUACAUUCUUUUCUUUUCAACUAACAAUGGUCAACCACGGGAACCGUCCCACGAUCGGUCGCCGAGCCGCAAAACGUCUUCGCCGCGAGCGGGUCAGACGAGCGCGGAUACUCCUCGACCAAGCGUACAAGGAAUACCUCCAAGAGUUAAGGCGCGAGCCCGUGGAGCAAGAGACCGCUCCUCCAGAGGAACACCGCGCUCUCGAGGAAACGGCAGAUUUGCGAGAUUCCAACCUCCUUUCUUUCAAGGCUCCUGGAACUUCUCUGGAGCUCCGACCCGGGUCUUCUGCCGUCUCAAUCUCCUCGUUGCUCACCUACAGGACAACCCCCGAUUCUCCUCCCGAAACUAUUUCUAACAUCUCUUAUUCCCUAGUUCCCUUCAAUCUCCCAGCAUCAAGUUCCUUUUCUUCUCCAGCGUGCUCCACAUCCAGUGUGGAGUUCCUGAAAGAAGUCGAGCUCCCUCCUUGUCGCCCGCGGUAUUAUUAUUUCAAUGAGCUUCAAAGUUCCCUCAAAAAAAUAAUACGGCAAUUCCCUUUAAAAACUAUACCUGACUUUCUAUCUGAUUUCUGCCUGCACUUUAACUUAGACUUAGAUGCCCUAUAUUCUAUAAUUACGACUCUGAAUCUUCAUGACCGGAUCCCCGCCUUCCUCCCUGACAAUUCCCAUCAAUAUUAUGUCUCCAAAGAUGUUUUUUAUAAUUUCUUUCCCCCAUCUACAGUUUCUAUUACCGAAAUUAAUUAGUUCCAUCUCCUCCUGUAUACAUAAUAACGCGUAUAGUUAAGAUUUUCAAAUUAAUUAUUUGUUAAUUCAAUAUGUAUAAUUUUUGAAUCAAUUAUUUAAUAAUCCUCAAUGUUACAUACAGUAUUUUGAAUAUGCACCGCUUAGUUUUCUUAAUUAAACAAUUUACACUAACGUUAAUUCUUUUAAGUAGCCAUAAUUAAUUAUUUGUAUUUUUGAUAACUAAUCAUGUACUAUCCUGUAAUUCUCAGUGUUUUCCAAACCUUAAUGUUAACUUGUUAGAUUUUCCUACCGAUAUUAAACAAUGUACUUAAAUUUUAAUUUUUUUUUUUUAUAAUUAUUACUUAAUUAGGCUAACUAAUUAUGUACUCUUGUUUUAAUUUUUUCUAAUUAAUAAUGAUUAGCUUGCUAUAUUGUUUUCUUUUUUCUGUUAAAUAACAAUAACCGAUUAUGUAUUUUAUUUGCUAAUUCUUUUGAACAACUUUAUAGAAACCUUAUGUAUGUAAAUUUUAAGUAUCAGAAUAUAUGUUAAGUCUUAGUUAAAAAGAAAACUUUAAUGUAAAAUUUUAUUUCAUCAACCUAUCUCGUUACACUAACUUCCCGACUUGAAAAGAUCGCACUCGGUCCGAUCCCGAGUUAUAGAGAUUAAAUUCUCUGACUAAUUAGGACCAACAAUCACACGAUUCUGAAAAGGCGUUAAAGCGUGUCAUUACACUUUGACGCAUAAUUUCGAAAUCAUUAAAAGUGCGUUCGGCUCGUGCCGCACAUCUCACUAGUGUGGUCACGAGAAUAAAAGAGUUUUUGUUGCAUCCUUCCCUACCUUCCUCAAGGCAUCUUCUGAGAGAUAGCCUCCUUUUCCUUAAGGCUGGAUGUAACACUUCCUUCUGCUCUACUUUUGCAAAUUUUAACGAGCAAGUUUUGAAUACAUUUGAUGUUUUUUUUCUUCACUCCAUUUGAGAAUUUAAUCGAAUUUAUUGAUUAGAUUCAAUUCUACUCUUCCUUCUGCUUUACUUUUGCGAAUUUUAACGAGCAAGUCUUGAAUAGAUUAGAAGUACUUUUUCUUUACUCCAUUUGAAAAUUUAAUCGAGUUUAUCGAUUAGAUUCAAUUUCACUCUUUCUCUAAUUUUCUCUCAAGAAUUCAUUUGAACUUGUUCUAACUAGAUUCAAUCCACUUAAUUUUCCAUUCUUUUCCUUAUUGCACUCUUCCUUUUGGGAAAGUAUUCUCGUCUAAUUAUUAUUUUUUUCUUUCCUUUUUGUGUUAUUUAUUUAUAAUGAUUUUUAAACUACAGAGAGAAAUGGGUUUUUAUUCUUAACAUUAAUUUUAGUGGAUAAAAUUCCCCAACGACAUACUGACAAGUGGAAAUCGCGAGCAGCCGCAGCUCAUUGGCGGAAUCGCCGCAAUUCUCGCAUCCAAAAAGUCGAAGUCUUGCACAAGUUCUUCGCGGAAAGAUGCGAAAUCUUCGUCGCGGAACUUAACGACGCCAUAUUAGGCUGUUAACAUUCCACAUUCAGCUCCACUACCCGGAAGCUCUAACAAUUUAAUAAAUUUUCCCCCCGAAUCACGCUCUCACUCUCCCCUUGAUUUUUCUGUUAACCAACCUUCUCAUUCUCCCGUUCCCCCCUCUGAGCAACCGCCCUCAUCCCCCUCCAAGCACUCCUUAGACCCCCUUGAACCACCCACUCACUCUCUUCCCGAUUUCUUUUUUGACCCUCUUAUUCAUCGGUCGAACGACCUCCGUCCUCCCCUCAACACCAUCUCGACUCCCUUGAUUCAUCUUCUAGUGCUCUCACAUACAGGAUUUUCCUCGAUACCCCUACUUCUCUCCUACGUCUCCCCCUGAAUUCCCAAUUCUUGAUCUUGGUGAUGAAUACCAAUUCUCUUAGUAGAUACGAACACAUACACAUACGCAUAUACACUGCUUGUCAUACAACUAUAAUUAAAGACCGAAAAUUAUAAAAUAUAACGAAUGUAAAUAUAUACAGAUAAAUAUAUAACCGUAGUUGUUAAUCCUCACCGUUUUAUCACGAGUUUUUGCAAACCUUUCUAAACAUUACCUUUUAUUAGUUAAUUAUUAAUUUUUAUCUGUAAUAAUCUAUUGUGUACUUAUAUUUUUGUUUUAAGUUACCAAAAUUAUAAUGGAGAUAAAUAUGUAGAUAAGUAUAAACAUAAUUAUCAAUUA